AUUUGACACCUGAAGCCUUCCUGUGUAGGUGGGAAAGUGAUUCAAGAAAUUUAUAUAGUGUUACCUGAAUGCACAAGAGUUGCUGCCAGGACUCCAUUAGUACAGAUGUCUCUGCUAAAUGGUUUGUUCGACCGCAUGGGAUGUGCUAAUGGAGAUGCCGAGGAAGACAAGUAGAGAUGUGUGAUGUACUCUUGUCAUCUACAUGGAUAGAUUCUUCUGUCCUAAAUCACGUGGAAGGUUGCAAUCACUGUACGGGCACCUAAAUUACUCCUUCUGCUUGACUAUAGGAGAUUUAUACGCAUU